rnacentral:rRNA from 1 species
UACGUAGGGUGCGAGCGUUAAUCGGAAUUACUGGGCGUAAAGCGUGCGCAGGCGGUGAUGUAAGACAGUUGUGAAAUCCCCGGGCUUAACCUGGGAACUGCAUUUGUGACUGCAUCGCUGGAGUGCGGCAGAGGGGGAUGGAAUUCCGCGUGUAGCAGUGAAAUGCGUAGAUAUGCGGAGGAACACCGAUGGCGAAGGCAGCCCCCUGGGCCGACACUGACGCUCAGGCACGAAAGCGUGGGGAGCAAACAGG